GGACUACCAGGGUUUCUAAUCCUGUUCGCUCCCCACGCUUUCGCGUCUCAGCGUCAGUACCGUCCCAGAGUGCCGCCUUCGCCACGGGUGUUCUUCCCGAUAUCUGCGCAUUUCACCGCUACACCGGGAAUUCCACACUCCUCUUCCGGACUCUAGCCAGAUGGUUUCAACCGACGUCUCGGGGUUGAGCCCCGAGUUUUCACAGCUGACCUUUCAGGCCGCCUACACGCUCUUUACGCCCAAUGAAUCCGGACAACGCUUGCCCCCUACGUAUUACCGCGGCGGCUGGCAC
rnacentral:rRNA from 1 species